rnacentral:rRNA from 1 species
UCCAGACUCCUACGGGAGGCAGCAGUGGGGGAUAUUGGACAAUGGGGGGAACCCUGAUCCAGCGACGCCGCGUGAGUGAAGAAGUAUUUCGGUAUGUAAAGCUCUGUCAGCAGGGAAGAAAGAAAUGACGGUACCUGACCAAGAAGCCCCGGCUAACUACGUGCCAGCAGCCGCGGUAAUACGUAGGGGGCAAGCGUUAUCCGGAUUUACUGGGUGUAAAGGGAGCGUAGACGGCUGUGCAAGCCAGAUGUGAAAGCCCGGGGCUCAACCCCGGGACUGCAUUUGGAACUGUGUGGCUGGAGUGUCGGAGAGGCAGGCGGAAUUCCUAGUGUAGCGGUGAAAUGCGUAGAUAUUAGGAGGAACACCAGUGGCGAAGGCGGCCUGCUGGACGAUGACUGACGUUGAGGCUCGAAAGCGUGGGGAGCAAACAGGAUUAGAUACCCCUGUAAGC